rnacentral:lncRNA from 1 species
GCGAUUUCUUGUGUAGGCUUUAUACAGAGAAGACGUGUGUGCCGGGAAGUGUGUCUAGCUGGUGCACUGCCUCGUCACCAGUUUGGAAGGAGUUGACGAUCCAAAGGCCUGACUCCACAGUGAUAAUGAGUCUCUCUACUAUCACUACGCCUUCACUGACAACGACCACUACCAACACCCCUGCCUCGCCACCGCUGCAACAUCAAGGAAGGACUCUGCCUUGCAUCACACCAACACACUGCGUACUCUUAACGCCGCCGCUGAGUGGGUGAUAGCGAGGAGUUGGUGAUCCAAAGGCCUGACUACAGCGAACCCCCGACUCCUGCACCAUCAGGAAGGGACUUUGGCUUCCCACGGCCUUCACAGACCCUUCUACCGCUACCGUCGUGUUACUGCCGCUGAGGGACUGCCCGGCAAACACCUACCACCAUUACCAUCACCACUGCUACCGCCGCCGCCGUCGUCGUCGUCGUCCAGCGAGAGAUUCAGCUUCGCGUCGCACACAUUCUGCCACUCACCUGCCGCUGCCGUCACCACCACCACCAAGGAUUCUGCAUGGCACCUUGACCCUGCGCUGCUGUCACCUACUGGUACUCGUGGUGGCGGCCAGAGGGGGAAGAGUUGCGGGUUGGUGUGGCAGUAGUCUCGCUCAUUGUGGGUGGUGUAUGUACUUGGACAGGUGUGGUGUUGUGGUGCAUUAAUCCAUUGUAAUAAACUGUCGUCACUGCCUUUCGCUCAUUGUGGGUGGUGUAUGUACUUGGACAGGUGUGGUGGUGUGGUGCAUUACUCCAUUGUAAUAAACUCGUCACUGCCUUUCGCUCAUUGUGGGUGGUGUAUGUACUUGGACAGGUGUGGUGUUGUGGUGCAUUACUCCAUUGUAAUAAAUUGUCUUCACUGCCUUUCGCUCAUUGUGGGUGGUGUAUGUACUUGGACAGGUGUGGUGUGGUGCAUUACUCCAUUGUAAUAAAUUGUCUUCACUGACUUAUUGUGUCGUCUCUGUACUAAGAACUGCUGUGUCACUAGUGAAUCAUAAAUUUUGAAGAAAUCUUGAUUGUUUUGGUAGAUUUCCUUUCCUGGGAAAAUUUGUGGGUGGUUUCAGUGAGUAGUCGCCUCGAGCUGGCUUAGGAGACUGUCUGACACACCAAUAUUGCCUCCAUUAACCGGUUACCUUCACUCACUCUAAACAAUAAUACGGCAGAAAUAAAAUGCUAAUUAAUAAAAAUGCCAAUUAAU